CACGAGAGCCAAUAGAACUAAUCGAGGUAGCCGUAGAAAAACAAGCAGAGAUUUGAGCCAUCAUUAAGCUAAACCAAAACACAGAGCCUCUGGGGAUUGUGUGUGCCUUUCCUGUGCUCACAGACCUUAGAAAUGAGGAUGUAAGUCACUUUAUUCAUGGCACGACUGAGAGCGCUCAGCGCCCCGCGCCGCGCGUCAUCGGCGCCCAGCAAUCUUCGUGAUCCUGUUCCCACAUUGUCAUUUUCGUGAGGAAAUGAUGAUGCGUUGUAAAACCACAUCUUCUUUUUUUUUCAGCCACUGUUUUUCACUUUAUGAUAAGAGAAAAUUAAACACAAAAACAGAA